AUGGCCGUCGCCAAGAGCAAGGCAGGCAAGCACGCCGCCCCGCUGCUCGGCAAGUACGAGCUCGGCCGCCUCCUCGGCCGCGGCACCUUCGCCAAGGUCUACCACGCGCGCUCCCUCGUCGGCGGCGAGGCCGUGGCCAUCAAGGUGCUCGACAAGCCCGAGCUGGCCGCCACGGCCGGCAUGGACGCGCGCGUGCUCGGCGAGGUCUCCGCCAUGCGCCGCCUCCGCCACCCCAACGUGCUGCGCCUCCACGAGGUGCUCGCCACGCGCUCCAAGGUCUACCUCGUCAUGGAGCUCGCCCCCGGCGGCGACCUGCUCUCCAGGCUCGCCUCGCUCCCGUCGCGCCGCCUCCCCGAGCACGCCGCGCGCCGCGUCUUCCUCCAGCUCGUCUCCGCGCUCAUCUACUGCCACGCGCGCGGCGUCUCCCAUCGCGACGUCAAGCCGCAGAACGUCCUCAUCGACGCCGACGGCAACCUCAAGGUCUGCGACUUCGGCCUCGCCGCGCUCCCGGAGUCCCACCGCGACGACGGCCGCCUGCACACCGCCUGCGGCACGCCCGCCUUCGCCGCGCCCGAGGUGCUCCGCCGCAAGGCCUACGACGGCGUCAAGGCCGACGCAUGGUCCUGCGGCGUCAUCCUCUACGUCCUCCUCGCCGGCCGCCUGCCGUUCGACGACUCCAACAUCGCCGAGAUGUGCAGGAAGGCGCACCGCCGCGAGUACACGCUCCCGGAGUGGGUGUCCCAGCCGGCGCGACGCCUCGUGAGCCGCCUGCUCGACCCAAACCCAGCCACCCGCCUCACGGUCGCCGAGCUCUCCAGCCACCCGUGGUUCAAACGGUCGCUCAGCCUGGACUCGCAGCUCGGCAGCCUCCUCGGCGGCGCGCCGGAGCGCGACCUCUUGUUCCAGGCCCCGCCGACGCUCAACGCGUUCGACAUCAUAAGCAUGUCGCCGGGGCUCGACCUGUCGGGACUCUUCGGCGAGAACCGGCGGAGCCGGGAGAAGCGGUUCAUGACGACGGCGUCGCCGGAGCAGAUGGUCGAGCAGCUCGGGCACUCGGGCGCAAAGCUCGGUUACUUCAUGGUGGGCAAGAAAGGAGUAGAGCGGCUGCCACUGGGCGGCCUGUCGGGGCUCGUGGCCAUGUCCAUGGAGAUGUCGGAGGUGGCGCCGCCCCUGAUGCUCGUCGAGCUUCGGCUGGAGGCAGGCGACGAGGAGGAGGUCCAGGCGUUCGGAUGGGACGCGCUUAGGACGGAGCUUGGGGAGGUGGUCAUGGCGUGGCAUGGAUGCGAGGAAUUGUGA
rnacentral:rRNA from 1 species